UACGUAGGGUGCGAGCGUUAAUCGGAAUUACUGGGCGUAAAGCGUGCGCAGGCGGUUUGCUAAGACAGGGGUGAAAUCCCCGGGCUUAACCUGGGAACUGCGCUUGUAACUGGCAAGCUAGAGUGUGAGAGGGGUUAAGGGAAUUCCCGGUGUAAGGGUGAAAUCUGCAGAGAUCGGGAGGAACACCAGUCGCGAAGGCGCUUAACUGGCUCACAACUGACGCUCAGGGACGAAAGCUAGGGUAGCAAACGGG
rnacentral:rRNA from 1 species